rnacentral:rRNA from 1 species
UACAGAGGGGGCAAGCGUUGUUCGGAAUCAUUGGGCGUAAAGAGCGUGUAGGCGGCUUGUUAAGUCUUGCGUGAAAUCUCGGGGCUCAACCCCGAGCGGUCGUGAGAAACUGGCAGGCUAGAGUGUGGUAGGGGAGAUCGGAAUUCCUGGUGUAGCGGUGAAAUGCGCAGAUAUCAGGAGGAACACCGGUGGCGAAGGCGGAUCUCUGGGCCAUUACUGACGCUGAGGAGCGAAAGCGUGGGGAGCGAACAGG